UACAGAGGGUGCGAGCGUUAAUCGGAAUGACUGGGCGUAAAGCGCAUGUAGGUGGCGUGAUAAGUCUGAUGUGAAAUCCCCGGGCUUAACCUGGGAACGGCAUUAGAAACUGUUGGGCUUGAGUCGGGCAGAGGGCAGUGGAAUUUCCGGUGUAGCGGUGAAAUGCGUAGAGAUCGGAAGGAACGCCAGUGGCGAAGGCGACUUCCUGGCCUGCAACUGACACUGAGGCACGAAAGCGUGGGGAGCAAACAGG
rnacentral:rRNA from 1 species